CCGUGAGGGAACGCGCGGUGCUCCGGGGCGGUGGCUGCCCUGAGGGUGCGCACGGCGGCUGCGGCCUCCUGCGGCUGCUGGGGAGCCGCGUCCUGACCCGGGGGCUGCCCUAGGCCGUGGCACAGCACACCGGGAGCGGCAGCGGAGCUUCGCAUUGUCUCCGAGGGUGCAGAGGAAUCCAUCGAAGGCUGAAGAAGCCGUGUGGUUCCACCACUGGCAUGCACCUGGGACUGCACAUGGGCAGGCAGCGGGUGGUUUUGAUCACAUAGAGGUGCCUUACUUCAGAGCUGCCACGAGAUGGCAAAAUACUCCCCUGUAUCCUCUCCAAGCUGGCUUGCCUGCACCACAGGCUGGCGCCGUGCAGGACUACCGGGAAACACAGCUGCAACAGCAGCCGAAUUUCUCUCCCUUCAUCUUAGCUGCUGCUCGGUGUGUGUGCUCGGGGAUGCUUCUGCAAAAAUCUUGGAGGACCAAAGCCUGUCCAUUUUCUCUUGCCCCUGAAGUCCAAGGCAGAGACUAUGACUGCUCACAAGAGAGAUGAAACACUUGAUAGUGUCCCUGCUUAUGACAAGGACCUUGCUCAGUGGCAGCAAGAAGGCAGAAGGAGACCUUCCUCUUUUUAUAACAUGGCCCUUAGCUAACUGAGAAACCUGUUUGAUGUUUCUGCAUUUAUUAAAAGAACUGAGAGCCUCACUCAAGAGCUUUUACUUCUCUAGCCUGUCUUCACUAUUCUCUAUAUCCUCUGUCCUAUACUGCUUUCACAGCUCAAUGCUAGACUAAAUGUCAAGGGUCCUAGAAACAUCUUCAGUUCCACAUUCUGAUGCUGACCUGAAGUCAUGUCAGUGUGAUGGCAGAAGCCACUUUUACCUCUCCCAGAAGUAACACAGAAGUGGCAUUAAAAAAACCCAUAGAGGCUUAAAAAAUGCCUCCUUCUAGUCUAGUGGGAAGGUUCUGGCUUUGGCUGGGGUAGAGCUAAUUUUCUUCACAGUAUUAGGCCAUAAUUUGAAUUUGUGCCGAAAACAGGGCUGAUAACAUAGGGAUGGGAUUUUUUUCUGCUGAGCCAAGGCCUUUGCUGCUCCUUACCUACCCUACCAGUGAGAAGGCUGAGGAUGUACAAGGAAUUGUGAGGGGACACAGCUGGGACAGCUGACCCCAAAUGACCCAAGGGAUAUGCCAAUCCCAUACCUUAUGGUGCCAUGCUUAGCAUAUAAAUCUGGGGGAAGACAAAAUAAGGGGAGGAGGUUCAGAGUCAUGGCGUUUGCCUUGUCAUCUUUGCACAGGAUGGGGCCCUGCUGUCCUGGAGAUGGGUGAACACUUGCCUGCCUAUGGAAAACAAUUAAUGAAUUCCUUGAUUUGCUUUGCUUCUGUGUGUGAUUUACUUUCCCUAUUAAACUGUCUUUACCUUAACCCAUGAGUUUUUUCACUUUUACCCUUCCAAUUCUCUUCCCAAUCCCACCACAGUAGAGUGAGCAAGUAGUUGUGGGAUGCUUAGUUGCUGACUGGGAUUAAGCAUUCCUUCUUUGGACCCAAUGUGGGGCUCAGAAAACUCAGAUUAUGACAGUGUAGAUUGGAAUGUGCUAAGUGAAGCUUUCAGCUGUUAUGGCUGUUUAAUUAUUAAUCAGCAGGCUCUAGUGCUUGCCCACAGGGCUCACUUGCCUGACUGUGUAUUGCAAUCCAGUGCUUGUUGGUGGCUGUUUGCUGUAGUGCUGUGCUGCUUAUCACCUCAUUCUGCUGUACCUGAGAACGUUUUGAUAACAGCCACGGUGUGCCAGGGCUGG